rnacentral:rRNA from 1 species
CCCUAUUAUUUAAGAGCUAAAUAUUGUAAGUAUAUAAUAAUUACGAAAGCAAAAAAUUAUGGCGGUAUUUUAAGCUUUUCAGAGGAAUUUGCUCUUUAAUGGAUAAAACACCUAAAUCUUACUUAAAUUUGUUAAAUCAACUUGUAUACCACUAUUAAAACAAUUAUUAACUCUAAUUGUUAAUAUUUAAAACAUAAAUUAAUUUAAAUUAAGUCAAGGUGCAGUAAAAAUUUAAGAAUGAAGUGAAUUACAUUACUUUUAAGGGAAAUAAAAUUAAAUAAAGUUUAGGAUUUGAAAGUAAAAUUAAAAUAGAAUGUUAAUUUGAAUUAAGCUCUAAAAUAUGUACAUAUCGCCCGUCACUCUUUUUUAA